rnacentral:rRNA from 1 species
CAAUAGCGUAUAUUUAAGUUGUUGCAGUUAAAAAGCUCGUAGUUGGAUUUCGGGUUGGCUUCAGCGGUCUCGCUUUGCGUUUGUACUGCUGCAGCCUACCUUCUUGUCGGGGACGGGCCUUCGGGCUUAAUUGCUUGGGGCCCGGAGUCGACGAUGUUACUUUGAGUAAAUUAGAGUGUUCAAAGCAAGCCUACGCUCUGAAUAUAAUAGCAUGGGAUAACACGACAGGACUCUGGCCUAUCGUGUUGGUCUGUAGGACCAGAGUAAUGAUUAAGAGGGACGGUCGGGGGCAUUCGUAUUCCGUUGUCAGAGGUGAAAUUCUUGGAUUUACGGAAGACGAACAUCUGCGAAAGCAUUUGCCAAGGAUGUUUUCAUUGA